UCAUUCAGGAAUUUGAAGUUCACCUCUUUCACCUUAGGAGGGAGAGGGAAUGAAAUAUAUCUUCUCCGUAUUAUCUUAAACUCUUCAGCUUCAAAUUCCUUGAAAACAUAAUUUCUCCUGACUGGGAAUAAAUGAAUUGUGCAACUUGUUUAAUUUAGAUGGAGUUGUUUUGAUUCUCACACUGGUCUGUACCUCACUGUGUGUGUUGUCAACAUUAGAAACAGUCAGAAAUCACAUUUAAAAGAUGGUUCAACUUUACCCUCCUACAACUUCACUGCAUCAUUAUAAUCUCAUAUAAAAACAAACAAACAAGCAGAAUCAUGUCAGUUGUUGAU